UGGCGAACGGGUGAGUAACACGUGGGCAAUCUGCCCUGACACUCUGGGACAAGCCCUGGAAACGGGGUCUAAUACCGGAUAUGAGCCUUGACAGGCAUCUGUGAGGCUGGAACACCUCCUUAGUGCAGGAUGAGCCCGCGGCCUAUCAGCUUGUUGGUGAGGUAACGGCUCACCAAGGCGACGACGGGUAGCCUGCCUGAUAGGGCGACCGGCCACACUAGGACUGAGACACGGCCCAGACUCCUACGGGAGGCAGCAGUGGGGAAUAUUGCACAAUGGGCGCAAGCCUGAUGCAGCGACGCCGCGUGAGGGAUGACGGCCUUCGGGUUGUAAACCUCUUUCAGCAGGGAAGAAGCGAGAGUGACGGUACCUGCAGAAGAAGCGCCGGCUAACUACGUGCCAGCAGCCGCGGUAAUACGUAAGGCGCAAGCGUUGUCCGGAAUUAUUGGGCGUAAAGAGCUCCUAAGCGGCUUGUCGCGUCGGUUGUGAAAGCCCGGGGCUUAACCCCGGGUCUGCAGUCGAUACGGGCAGGCUAGAGUUCGGUAGGGGAGAUCGGAAUUCCUGGUGUAGCGGUGAAAUGCGCAGAUAUCAGGAGGAACACCGGUGGCGAAGGCGGAUCUCUGGGCCGAUACUGACGCUGAGGAGCGAAAGCGUGGGGAGCGAACAGGAUUAGAUACCCUGGUAGUCCACGCCGUAAACGGUGGGCACUAGGUGUGGGCAGCAUUCCACGUUGUCCGUGCCGCAGCUAACGCAUUAAGUGCCCCGCCUGGGGAGUACGGCCGCAAGGCUAAAACUCAAAGGAAUUGACGGGGGCCCGCACAAGCGGCGGAGCAUGUGGCUUAAUUCGACGCAACGCGAAGAACCUUACCAAGGCUUGACAUACACCGGAAAGCAUUAGAGAUAGUGCCCCCCUUGUGGUCGGUGUACAGGUGGUGCAUGGCUGUCGUCAGCUCGUGUCGUGAGAUGUUGGGUUAAGUCCCGCAACGAGCGCAACCCUUGUCCCGUGUUGCCAGCAGGCCCUUGUGGUGCUGGGGACUCACGGGAGACCGCCGGGGUCAACUCGGAGGAAGGUGGGGACGACGUCAAGUCAUCAUGCCCCUUAUGUCUUGGGCUGCACACGUGCUACAAUGGCCGGUACAAUGAGCUGCGAUACCGUGAGGUGGAGCGAAUCUCAAAAAGCCGGUCUCAGUUCGGAUUGGGGUCUGCAACUCGACCCCAUGAAGUCGGUAGAGUUAGAUCUUGGAUCAGAACGAACGUCUGGCGGAGAGCGUUAACACAUCCCAAGUCGCACGACGAAUCCCUUCGGGGUGGAUUAGUGACAGCAUUAGGGAGGGAUCCCUACGCACUGUUGCGGGACCUUUACAAUGUGACAACUGGCGUCCCGGAUCGCC
rnacentral:rRNA from 1 species